GAUGAACGCUCGCGGCAGGCCUAACACAUGCAAGUCGAGGGAGAAGCCCUUUCGGGGGCAGAAACCGGCGCACGGGUGCGUAACGCGUAUGCAACCUACCUUUCACAGGGGGAUAGCCCGAAGAAAUUUGGAUUAAUACCCCAUAAUAUUAUUGGAUGGCAUCAUUUGAUAAUUAAAACUGCGGUGGUGAAAGAUGGGCAUGCGUCCUAUUAGCUAGUUGGAGUGGUAACGGCACCCCAAGGCUACGAUAGGUAGGGGUCCUGAGAGGGAGAUCCCCCACACUGGUACUGAGACAGGGACCAGACUCCUACGGGAGGCAGCAGUGAGGAAUAUUGGUCAAUGGUCGGAAGACUGAACCAGCCAUGCCGCGUGCAGGAAGAAUGCCUUAUGGGUUGUAAACUGCUUUUAUAUGGGAAGAAUAAGGUGUACGUGUACAUUGAUGACGGUACCAUAUGAAUAAGCAUCGGCUAACUCCGUG
rnacentral:rRNA from 1 species